rnacentral:lncRNA from 1 species
UUCAUAAUUCCAGCCGCAUGAUGCCACUUUGCAGCUCUAACGUGCACACGGGCAACUUGAUCCCACAUUGGUGUAGUCUCCCAACGGCUGUACAUGUACAGUUCGAGCUACAAGCUGCAUAAGAAAUGUGCAGCAUUCAAUCCGGUGUUUAGAGCAUCACUUUUACCAGUGGAAUCAAGCAAUGCAUGGCCUUGCCAACCGCUUUCUAUGUACUUCACACUCGUAACAAUAAGGUGCACGAGCUUUCAUUCACGAGUCACUCCCUACGCUUAAAUGCACGUUUACAGAACACGCAUGACUUGCCAGUGAACUUGGCCGCUACAUGGCCGUACCAACUGCUUUCUCUGUACUUCACACUCGUAACAAUAAGGUGCACGAGCUUUCAUUCACGAGUCACUCCCUACGCUUAAAUGCACGUUUACAGAACACGCAUGACUUGCCAGUGAACUUGGCCGCUACAUGGC